GACGUAGGGUCCGAGCGUUGUCCGGAGUUACUGGGCGUAAAGGGCGCGUAGGCGGCUUUGUGCGUCACCCGUGAAAGCCCCCGGCUCAACCGGGGAGGGUCGGGUGAAACGGCGGAGCUGGAGGCAGCGAGAGGCUGGUGGGAAUUCCCGGAGUAGUGGUGAAAAUGCGUAGAGAUCGGGAGGAACACCCGGUGGCGAAGGCGGCCAGCUGGCGCUGACCUGACGCUGAG
rnacentral:rRNA from 1 species